rnacentral:rRNA from 1 species
GUGAGGAAUAUUGGUCAAUGGGCGCAAGCCUGAACCAGCCAUGCCGCGUGCAGGAAGACGGUCCUAUGGAUUGUAAACUGCUUUUAUUUGGGAAUAAACUCCGGUACGUGUACCGGCCUGAAGGUACCACAUGAAUAAGCACCGGCUAACUCCGUGCCAGCAGCCGCGGUAAUACGGAGGGUGCAAGCGUUAUCCGGAAUCAUUGGGUUUAAAGGGUCCGCAGGCGGUCUUAUAAGUCAGUGGUGAAAGCCUACAGCUCAACUGUAGAACUGCCAUUGAUACUGUAGGACUUGAAUUCGAUCGAAGUGGGCGGAAUGUGACAUGUAGCGGUGAAAUGCUUAGAUAUGUCACAGAACACCGAUAGCGAAGGCAGCUCACUAGGUCUGGAUUGACGCUCAGGGACGAAAGCGUGGGGAGCAAACAGGAUUAGAAACCCUUGUAGUCC